rnacentral:rRNA from 1 species
UACAGGGGGGGCAAGCGUUGUUCGGAAUUACUGGGCGUAAAGCGCACGUAGGCGGACAUUUAAGUCAGGGGUGAAAUCCCAGAGCUCAACUCUGGAACUGCCUUUGAUACUGGGUGUCUUGAGUAUGGAAGAGGUGAGUGGAAUUCCGAGUGUAGAGGUGAAAUUCGUAGAUAUUCGGAGGAACACCAGUGGCGAAGGCGGCUCACUGGUCCAUUACUGACGCUGAGGUGCGAAAGCGUGGGGAGCAAACAGG